rnacentral:lncRNA from 1 species
GUCCUAAGAUUUUAUUUCAAUCUUUCACGCAUCUUGUGGCGAGACUAAACUUUCAACAUAGGCAUGUGGACUGUAAAGGCGUUUCUCAUGGCCGCGGAACACAUUAUUCUGAUGAUCGUAAACCAACACGACGGAUAAACCAUUCACCAAAAUCUCUCCAUUUAGACCCACCACCAAUGGUGCUGGCUGAAGAAGCUCAACAAGAUUAGCAAACGUCGCCACCCUCUUCCAAGUUUCCUUCAUAACCCAAACUCCAAAGACUUCUGUAGACAAGCCAAUAUAACAUAGCACACAAAGUAAGCCACCAAGCAAACCCACAGCCCAAUGCUCUUUCUUGCAAAACUCGUGAUCAUGGUACACUAGGAUCUUAAAUGCAGUAGUGGAACAGGUGAUGUUCUCUCUACAAAUUAAAAAUUAUUCACUUGAGAAACAAAACGCAAUCAUUUAUGCUUAAUCAAAUCAAACUAUAUAUAACUGAACAUAAUUGUCAAGAAAUAGCAUGCAAUGAAAUCACUCAUGAUCAUGUCCUAAGAUUUUAUUUCAAUCUUUCACACAUCUUCUGGCAAGACUAAGCUUUCAACAUAGACAUGUGGACUGUAAUAGUGUGUCUCAUGGCAGCGGAACACAUUAUCCUGACAAUCGUAAACCAACAAGAUGGAUUCCCAGUUUACCAAAAUCUCUCCAUUUAGACCCAUCACCAAUGGCGCUGGCUGAAGAAGCUCAGCAAGAGUAGCAAACGUCGCCACCCUCUUCCAAGCUUCCUUCAUAACCCAAACUCCAAAGGCUAAUUCACUAAGCAGGCCAAUAAAACAUAGCACACAAAGUAAGCCACCAAGCACACCCACAGCCCAGUGCUCUUUCUUGCAAAACUCGUGAUCAAAGGGAAGCUCAAUCCUUCCAAACACCUCACUCUUCAAGUCCAAGAAAAUAAUAUCUAUCUAUUUAUCUUUCUUCCAGUAAAGCUUCCCACCUGCAAAUAUCCCCCGUCCAAAAUGUGAAGCUAAAUCUGCACAGUGCUCACUUGUUUUCCAUGAUUUUGUCCUUGAACUAUAAACUUUACAAUCUCUAUUAUCAACACUCACAAACAACUUGUACUCAUCACUCGAUUCAACCCAACCGAACCCCAAAGCCGUAAAAGUAUUAGAAAUUUCUGGCAGUAUCUUGGAGAUUCUAGUGGAUGGGUUCCACAACUGAAAUCUACCUUGAAAGUCACGAAUGCAGAGCAGCCCAUUACAACUCCCAAUAAUUUCAAAUUGCAUCAAUGUAGGUAAAGGAGAUACAGGGAUCGUUAGUUCGCUCAAAAUCGACAGCGGAAAACAUUGCACAGGUUUCUCAGAAGGAUCAUUAUAUGUAAUGACCCUUUGAUAGGGGAAAGAUGGGUUUUUUUAUUGAAUUUCGAUACUGGGUUUCGAUGAAACGUUUGUUGCCAAUUAGAGAGCACCAUGAUUUUGAAACGCACCUGAAUCUCAAGAGUGAUU